GUGAGCAAGAGCUAUGGUAGGAGCAUAUUGGAGCAUGUUGGAGCGUGCGACGCGAACAAACCUAAUACGUCGCUUAUGUAUCGCGAACCCGCAAUACGCCGCGACAUCGUUUCCUCCGUGAAGUCAUAUUCCUCACUCACAUUCAUGACGUCAUCCCCUGCCCUCUCCGUGACGUCAUACCCCCGCGCCCCAGUAUCCCCUGCCCCCCUCCCCAUCGGAGGACCUGCAUAUACUCCACUGUCCUUGGAUCUUGUGAGCUUCCGCUACAGUUGAUGCCCUAGAGAGGAUGUACACAUCCUGUUUUAAUAUAGCGACGCCUCUAACAUAUCGAAGAACCUCAUCUUUGGUGAGUUGACGCAAGAUCUCCACAAUAUAUUCGCUGCUAAGCCAGCCGUUGAAGACCACUCGCAGUUUCGUCGUGGUGCUAAACUCCUUCAACAUCCUGCAUGGCAAGUAACAAUUGGCUCGCGAGAUCUUCCUUUCCUGAUGCUGAAGCCGAUUAUCUCCACGAAGACAUCAGUGCCUAAGAGCAUGUCGAUACCGUCGGAGAACUCCGAAUCGGCCAAUUCGAGUCCUCGAAGAUGUGGCCACUCUCUCAGUGAUGUGCUUGACACUCCCGCAUAUAUGUUCACACAUAGCUGGGCGCUGUCAACGAAUUGCAUCCGUUCCCCGCACAGUUUUUCUUCUUGAAGGCCUCAUAACAUCAUAAGAUAGUGAUCUUUACGACACAAAGAGCAGUGCUCUCUUUCCUUCUGAGUAGGAUGUGCGCGAGCGACCUUCGAAGCACCUGACUUCUCUGGAUUCGCAUCGAGCUUGCUACCAAGUGUAGCUUCCAUUGUCAACAACCGGCGUUCCAGGAGUUCUUGCAGUUCCGCGAACGAUGGUGUAUACGUACAGGUCUUCUUCAUUGAUGAUGGAUCGCCCUAUAUUAGCGACAACUCCUGCAGUAUUUCUGGAGCAAUGAUAAAGCUUGCGUAGAUCAGUGGUUGACUCGGACUUUAGUUUUGGCAAGACCAUGGCGUAGAAGGACCGAAUCAGCAGUCUCGUAUUUUCGCACUAAUCGAUUCACGCAAAGGAACUCCUGUAUGAUGCGCGAAAUUGCACAGAGAAAAAAGUAUUUAUUUACUGAAAUCUGGCUCGAAGGACCAAAAAUAUAAUGGAAUGGAAAAGAAGCGAGCACGAAAUAAAGAGACGCACAUAAUACUUUACACACGAAUGAAUUUAUUUUAACAGCAUUUUCGAUUUCACUACAAAAAUGAAAUAUACAUACACUACUCACAACAAUUACAGCUGUCUGAAUUUUAUCUAUUUUUA